AAGUCGGCUUCGGCUGGCAAGUACCGUGGCGAACGGGUGAGUAACACGUGGGUAAUCUAACCUCGAGUUUGGGAUAACCUUGCGAAAGCGGGGCUAAUACCGAAUAAGACCACGCUCAGUUCGCUGGGUGCGGUAAAAGGCGGCCUCUUCUUGAAAGCUGUCACUUGAGGAUGAGCCCGCGGCCUAUUAGCUAGUUGGUGGGGUAAUGGCCUACCAAGGCGACGAUGGGUAGCCGGCCUGAGAGGGUGUACGGCCACACUGGCACUGAGAUACGGGCCAGACUCCUACGGGAGGCAGCAGUGGGGAAUUUUGCGCAAUGGGGGAAACCCUGACGCAGCAACGCCGCGUGAGUGAUGAAGGCCUUCGGGUCGUAAAGCUCUUUUAGUGGGGAAGAAUCCCACCCGGGCUAAUACCUCGGGUGUCUGACGGUACCCACAGAAAAAGUUCCGGCUAACUACGUGCCAGCAGCCGCGGUAAUACGUAGGGAGCAAGCGUUGUUCGGAAUUAUUGGGCGUAAAGAGCGCGUAGGCGGUUCGGUAAGUCUGACGUGAAAUCCCAGAGCUUAACUCUGGAACUGCGUUGGAUACUGCCGAGCUUGAGUGUGGGAGAGGAGAGUGGAAUUCCCAGUGUAGAGGUGAAAUUCGUAGAUAUUGGGAGGAACACCCGUGGCGAAAGCGGCUCUCUGGACCACAACUGACGCUGAGGCGCGAAAGCUAGGGUAGCAAACGGGAUUAGAUACCCCGGUAGUCCUAGCCGUAAACGAUGGGCACUAGGUGUUGGAGGUAUCGACUCCUCCAGUGCCGCAGCUACGCAUUAAGUGCCUCGCCUGGGGAGUACGUCGCAGACUAAAACUCA
rnacentral:rRNA from 1 species